UAAGGGCGCACGGUGGAUGCCUUGGCACUAGAAGCCGAUGAAGGACGUUACUAACGACGAUAUGCUUUGGGGAGCUGUAAGUAAGCUUUGAUCCAGAGAUUUCCGAAUGGGGAAACCCAGCAUGAGUUAUGUCAUGUUAUCGAUAUGUGAAUACAUAGCAUAUCAGAAGGCACACCCGGAGAACUGAAACAUCUUAGUACCCGGAGGAAGAGAAAGAAAAUUCGAUUCCCUUAGUAGCGGCGAGCGAAACGGGAAGAGCCCAAACCAACAAGCUUGCUUGUUGGGGUUGUAGGACACUCUAUACGGAGUUACAAAGGACGACAUUAGACGAAUCAUCUGGAAAGAUGAAUCAAAGAAGGUAAUAAUCCUGUAGUCGAAAAUGUUGUCUCUCUUGAGUGGAUCCUGAGUACGACGGAGCACGUGAAAUUCCGUCGGAAUCUGGGAGGACCAUCUCCUAAGGCUAAAUACUCUCUAGUGACCGAUAGUGAACCAGUACCGUGAGGGAAAGGUGAAAAGCACCCCGGAAGGGGAGUGAAAUAGAACCUGAAACCGUGUGCUUACAAGUAGUCAGAGCCCGUUAAUGGGUGAUGGCGUGCCUUUUGUAGAAUGAACCGGCGAGUUACGAUUUGAUGCAAGGUUAAGCAGUAAAUGUGGAGCCGUAGCGAAAGCGAGUCUGAAUAGGGCGUUUAGUAUUUGGUCGUAGACCCGAAACCAGGUGAUCUACCCUUGGUCAGGUUGAAGUUCAGGUAACACUGAAUGGAGGACCGAACCGACUUACGUUGAAAAGUGAGCGGAUGAACUGAGGGUAGCGGAGAAAUUCCAAUCGAACCUGGAGAUAGCUGGUUCUCUCCGAAAUAGCUUUAGGGCUAGCCUCAAGUGAUGAUUAUUGGAGGUAGAGCACUGUUUGGACGAGGGGCCCCUCUCGGGUUACCGAAUUCAGACAAACUCCGAAUGCCAAUUAAUUUAACUUGGGAGUCAGAACAUGGGUGAUAAGGUCCGUGUUCGAAAGGGAAACAGCCCAGACCACCAGCUAAGGUCCCAAAAUAUAUGUUAAGUGGAAAAGGAUGUGGCGUUGCCCAGACAACUAGGAUGUUGGCUUAGAAGCAGCCAUCAUUUAAAGAGUGCGUAAUAGCUCACUAGUCGAGUGACACUGCGCCGAAAAUGUACCGGGGCUAAACAUAUUACCGAAGCUGUGGAUUGUCCUUUGGACAAUGGUAGGAGAGCGUUCUAAGGGCGUUGAAGCAUGAUCGUAAGGACAUGUGGAGCGCUUAGAAGUGAGAAUGCCGGUGUGAGUAGCGAAAGACGGGUGAGAAUCCCGUCCACCGAUUGACUAAGGUUUCCAGAGGAAGGCUCGUCCGCUCUGGGUUAGUCGGGUCCUAAGCUGAGGCCGACAGGCGUAGGCGAUGGAUAACAGGUUGAUAUUCCUGUACCACCUAUAAUCGUUUUAAUCGAUGGGGGGACGCAGUAGGAUAGGCGAAGCGUGCGAUUGG
rnacentral:rRNA from 1 species